GACGAACGCUGGCGGCGUGCCUAAUACAUGCAAGUAGAACGCACAGUUUAUACCGUAGCUUGCUACACCAUAGACUGUGAGUUGCGAACGGGUGAGUAACGCGUAGGUAACCUGCCUGGUAGCGGGGGAUAACUAUUGGAAACGAUAGCUAAUACCGCAUAAUAUUAAUUAUUGCAUGAUAAUUGAUUGAAAGGUGCAAUUGCACCACUACCAGAUGGACCUGCGUUGUAUUAGCUAGUAGGUGAGGUAACGGCUCACCUAGGCGACGAUACAUAGCCGACCUGAGAGGGUGAUCGGCCACACUGGGACUGAGACACGGCCCAGACUCCUACGGGAGGCAGCAGUAGGGAAUCUUCGGCAAUGGACGAAAGUCUGACCGAGCAACGCCGCGUGAGUGAAGAAGGUUUUCGGAUCGUAAAGCUCUGUUGUAAGAGAAGAACGGGUGUGAGAGUGGAAAGUUCACACUGUGACGGUAUCUUACCAGAAAGGCGGCUUA
rnacentral:rRNA from 1 species